rnacentral:rRNA from 1 species
UACGAAGGGGACUAGCGUUGUUCGGAAUUACUGGGCGUAAAGGGUGCGCAGGCGGCGUCGCAAGUCAGGCGUGAAAUCCCCGGGCUUAACCUGGGAACUGCACUUGAAACUACGAUGCUGGAGUAUGGCAGAGGGAGGUGGAAUUCCACGUGUAGCGGUGAAAUGCGUAGAGAUGUGGAGGAACACCGAUGGCGAAGGCAGCCUCCUGGGCCAAUACUGACGCUCAUGCACGAAAGCGUGGGGAGCAAACAGG